rnacentral:rRNA from 1 species
CCCUUAGAUGUUCUGGGCCGCACACGCGCUACACUGAAGGAGGCAGCGUGUACUCCUGGAUCGAAAGAUUUGGGUAACCCGCGAAUCUCCUUCGUGCUAGGGAUUGAGGUUUGCAAUUAUCCUUCAUGAACGAGGAAUUCCCAGUAAGUGCAGGUCAUAAGCUUGCGCUGACUACGUCCCUGCCCUUUGUACACACCGCCCGUCGCUACUACCGAUUGAAUGAUUUAGUGAGGACUUCGGACUGGGACCGAUGCGGCUUUCGGGCUGCGUCGGUAUUCUGGAAAGAUGUCCAAACUGUNUNAUUUAGNGGAAGUAAAANUCGUANCA